AAUAACAAUUAAGUGAUAAAUGAAAUUAUCACUUCAUUGAUACUUUACUUUUACAUAAAAUGCAAAUAUUAAUUACAAAAAAAAUAAAAGGAGAGCAUUUGAUGAAGUUAAGAAAGAAAAUAAAGGCAAAACAAUGCCUUAUAUCGAAGAUAACCCUAACUCAUAUGCAAUUCAUUUUCUUUGCUCAUCUUGCCUGGGUGCCGCCAUGGUAAUCUGCGUGGGGUUUAGAUGGAGCUUUUCUGGAAAUUUCGCACAGGCUGCCUUUAACACUUGCAUUCUGACUUUAAACUCAGUUUUUACGGCUUGAAAGUUUGAAGAAAAGCAAAGGCCGCCAUGGUAUCUUCAAGGCAAGUUUGCGAGGAAUCAAGAGGUAACGAGCAUGCUGCAAGGCUGAAGAUGGAGCAACGUCACAACCUUGACCAG